rnacentral:rRNA from 1 species
GAUGAACGCUGGCGGCGUGCUUAACACAUGCAAGUCGAACGGAAAGGCUCUUCUUUUGUGGGGUGCUCGAGUGGCGAACGGGUGAGUAACACGUGAGUGAUCUGCCCUUCACUUUGGGAUAACCCCGGGAAACUGGGGCUAAUACCGGAUAGGACGUCCUUCUGCAUGGUUGUGGUUGGAGUGUUUCGGCGUUUGGGGAUGUCCUCGCGGCUUAUCAGCUUGUUGGUGGGGUAGUGGCCUACCAAGGCUUUGACGGGUAGCCGGCCUGAGAGGGUGGACGGCCACAUUGGGACUGAGAUACGGCCCAGACUCCUACGGGAGGCAGCAGUGGGGAAUAUUGCACAAUGGGCGGAAGCCUGAUGCAGCAACGCCGCGUGGGGGAUGACGGCCUUCGGGUUGUAAACCGCUUUCGCCAGGGACGAAGCGUAAGUGACGGUAAUGGGUAAAGAAGCACCGGCUAACUACGUG